AUCACUUCUCAGCCUUUUGGUUAAGAUCAAAAGUAAAGCAACUGUUCUUAUCAGUUUAAUAUCUAACAUGUCCUCUAUCUGAGGACAAUAUAUUAAACUAGAGGCCUGACGCACA
rnacentral:snRNA from 1 species